GGAGUAAUCUCAAAUUGUAACAGUGGGUUUUUUCAACGGCAAAGCACAAACUUUGAAACGUCCCUCCGUUCGAGAGAACAUUUGCUAUACCCACGUUACAGAUUGGGGUUUCCCC
rfam:Culex pipiens quinquefasciatus supercont3.57 genomic scaffold, whole genome shotgun sequence.